rnacentral:tRNA from 1 species
GCCCUAGUAGCUUAGCCUUUUAAAGCAUC